ACAUAGCUCUGUGGUAGAGUGCUUGCCUAGCAAGUGUGAAGCCCUGGGUUCUAUUCCCAGUGU
rnacentral:tRNA from 1 species